rnacentral:tRNA from 1 species
GUCCUGGUGGUGAAAUGGUAGACAUGUAAGACUCAAAAUCUCGUGCUAAAGAACAUGAAGGUUCGAGUCCUCUUCAAGGCA